AAACUUUCAACAACGGAUCUCUUGGCUCUGGCAUCGAUGAAGAACGCAGCGAAAUGCGAUAAGUAAUGUGAAUUGCAGAAUUUAGUGAAUCAUCGAAUCUUUGAACGCACAUUGCGCCCCUUGGUAUUCCGAGGGGCAUGCCUGUUC
rnacentral:rRNA from 1 species